rnacentral:sRNA from 1 species
UGGUCUCGCUGGGUUUCGGGCAUGGCGGCCAGGAUCG